rnacentral:rRNA from 1 species
UAGGGAAUCUUCCACAAUGGGCGAAAGCCUGAUGGAGCAACGCCGCGUGUGUGAUGAAGGGUUUCGGCUCGUAAAACACUGUUGUAAGAGAAGAAUGACAUUGAGAGUAACUGUUCAAUGUGUGACGGUAUCUUACCAGAAAGGAACGGCUAAAUACGUGCCAC